UACGUAGGUGGCAAGCGUUGUCCGGAUUUACUGGGCGUAAAGGGCGUGCAGGCGGUCUGUUAAGUUCAGGGUGAAAGCCCCCGGCUCAACUGGGGAGGGUCAUUCGAUACUGAUCGACUCGAAGGCAGGAGAGGGAAGUGGAAUUCCCGGUGUAGUGGUGAAAUGCGUAGAUAUCGGGAGGAACACCAGUGGCGAAGGCGACUUCCUGGCCUGUUCUUGACGCUGAGGCGCGAAAGCUAGGGGAGCAAACGGG
rnacentral:rRNA from 1 species